AGGUUCUUGGUAGGGUGGAUGCUGGCCUGCUGACCAUGACCAUGACUCAUGACAUUGUUAGUUACACCUGUGUUUUUCCUGCCAUGGAUCAAGGUGGGGCUAGAGCCUAUCCCAGCUGUCCUCGGGUGCAAGACACAAAAGUUCCUGGAAGGUGGGAAAAAGCUGGAGUACCUGGAGAAGACCUCCACACAGAAAGCAACUAUGAUCCUCGGGGAGCUGCACAGCCACCAGAACUGAAGGGCUUCAACCAAUGACGAGGCAGGAACAGAGAAGCCCCGAGGCUAGUGAGGAGUCAAGUCUGUCCUCCUUUGCUUUGCUGUUCCUGUGGGGGAACACAUUUUGUCUUCCAUAGAAGGCCUGGAACUGUGUACUAUGGACAAAGGACAAACUGUAUGAAGGGUUUUUCAUUCAAUACAGAGAAUGUGAUGUGAUCUACAUGAUUAGUUGUUCCGCCUGGUUAAAGUCCACCAACAUCAGCAGGGCAUGAAACCCUCCUGCCUCUUUGCCCUUCAUGGAACAUAGAUUUAUAUACACUACAUUGUCUUUUAACUUUAUCACAUGGCAGCAACUCAGUGCAGAUGUGGUAAACGACCUGCUAAAGUUCAAAUCGAACAUCAGAAUGGGGAAGAAAGAUAAAUUGAGCGACUUUUAAUGUUGCUUGGUGUUUGGUGUCCAACUGGGAUUUUUCCACUCAACUAUCUCUAUGGUUUACAGAGAAUGGUCUAGGAAAAAAGAGAGGAAAAAUCCAGUGAGCAGCAGUUCUCUGGGUGAAAAAGUAUUGUUGAUGUCAGAGGUCAGAGAAUGGCCAGACCGCUUCGAGCUGAUAGGAAGGCAACAGUAACUCAGAUAACCACUUGUAACAACACGCUGACCCUUGAAGCAGAUGGGCUACAAUAGCCCACACUAGGUGCUAUUCCUCACAACUGAGAACAGAAAACUGAGGCUACAAUUCACACAACUUCACCAAAACUGGAAAAUAAGAUUGAAAAAAAUGUUGCCUGAGUCUCAAUUUCUGCUGUGACAUUCUCAUGGAGGGUCAGGAUUUGUUGUAAACAACAUGCAUCCUGCCUUAAUCAACAGUUCAGGCUGCUGGUGGCCUAACAGCGUGUGGGAUAUUUUCUUGGCACACUUCGAGCUCCUUAAUGCCAACUGAGCAUCAUU